rnacentral:tRNA from 1 species
UUUGUUUUGAAAACUUAAGAAAGAAUAAAUAAUUCUAUUAAUUUAUACUAAAAAAAUUAUAAUUAUU